rnacentral:rRNA from 1 species
AUUGAACGCUGGCGGCAGGCUUAACACAUGCAAGUCGAGCGAGCGGCGGACGGGUGAGUAAUGCCUGGGAAACUGCCUGCUGGAGGGGGAUAACUACUGGACACGGUAGCUAAUAACGCAUACCAUCAGAUGUGCCCAGAUGGGAUUUGCUAGUAGGUGGGGUAAGGGAUCACCUAGGAGACGAUCCCUAGCUGGUCUGAGAGGAUGACCAGCCACACUGGAACUGAACCACGGUCCAGACUCCUACGGGAGGCAGGAGUGGGGAAUAUAGCACAAUGGGCGCAGGGCUGAGGCAGCCAUGCCGCGUAUGUGAAGAAGGCCUUCGGGUUGUAAAGCACUUUCAGCGAGGAGGCGUUACUCGCAGAAGAAGCACCGGCUAACUCCGUGCCAGCAGCCGCGGUAAUUC